CUCGUUUAAUUUUAUAAAAAUUUUGUCAUAGUAUUUACUUUGACCAUUUAACAAGAAUAUAAAAAUUUCUAAAAUUUUGAACCAACCGUUUUGUCAGAAAAAUUACACUGGUUAUAUAGCAGUUUGACAAACACCAAUUUUGAUCAUUGAGAAGCUUAAUAUUCCUUUUACAAUACAACGUAAUUAAAACGUUUAGCUGACUUUACAGAGUUAUCUCCCUGUAGUGUUAGGUACCACCUUAAUCUAU
rnacentral:lncRNA from 1 species